rnacentral:rRNA from 1 species
UGGGGAAUUUUGGACAAUGGGGGAAACCCUGAUCCAGCGACGCCGCGUGUGUGAAGAAGGCCUGCGGGUUGUAAAGCACUUUCGGAGGGAACGAAUGCUCCUGAAGUUAACAGCCUCAGGAGGUGACGGUACCCUCAAAGGAAGCACCGGCUAACUCUGUGCCAGCAGCCGCGGUAAUACGUAGGGUGCGAGCGUUAAUCGGAAUUACUGGGCGUAAAGCGUGCGUAGGCGGCUUCGCAAGUCAGGUGUGAAAGCCCUGGGCUCAACCUAGGAAUUGCGCUUGAAACUACGGAGCUAGAGUUUGGCAGAGGGGGGUGGAAUUCCACGUGUAGCAGUGAAAUGCGUAGAUAUGUGGAGGAACACCGAUGGCGAAGGCAGCCCCCUGGGCCAAAACUGACGCUCAGGCACGAAAGCGUGGGGAGCAAACAGGAUUAGAUACCCCUGUAGUCCCUGAGCGGGCUGGCAAGGCGCAU